rnacentral:rRNA from 1 species
GCGGUGGAUCAUGUUUGUUUAAUUCGAUGAUACGCGAAGAACCUUACCAGGUCUUGACAUCCCCCCGCGAUGCUUUAGAGAUAAAGCGGAGGUAUUCGGGGAGACAGGUGGUGCAUGGUUGUCGUCAGCUCGUGUCGUGAGAUGUUGGGUUAAGUCCCGUAACGAGCGCAACCCUUGUCCUUAGUUACCAGCACGUUAUGGUGGGCACUCUAAGGAGACUGCCGGUGACAAACCGGAGGAAGGUGGGGAUGACGUCAAGUCAUCAUGGCCCUUACGGCCUGGGCUACACACGUGCUACAAUGGUCGGUACAAAGGGUUGCCAAGCCGCGAGGUGGAGCUAAUCCCAUAAAACCGAUCGUAGUCCGGAUCGCAGUCUGCAACUCGACUGCGUGAAGUCGGAAUCGCUAGUAAUCGUGAAUCAGAAUGUCACGGUGAAUACGUUCCCGGGCCUU